rnacentral:rRNA from 1 species
UACGGAGGAUGCGAGCGUUGUUCGGAGUGACUGGGCGUAAAGAGCACGUAGGCGGUGUUGUAAGUCAUUAGUCAAAGACUAGAGCUCAACUUUAGUAAGGCUAGUGAUACUAUAAUACUAGAGUAUCAGAGAGGAUUGCAGAAUUCCUGGUGUAGCGGUGAAAUGCGUAGAUAUCACACAGAACACCGAUUGCGAAGGCAUCUCACGAAUCCGCGAUUGACGCUGAUGCACGAAAGCGUGGGUAUCAAACAGG